rnacentral:rRNA from 1 species
CCCUUAGAUGUUCUGGGCUGCACGCGCGCUACACUGAUGCGCUCAACGAGUUUUAACCUUGCCUGGAAAGGUUGGGUAAUCUUUUUAAAACGCAUCGUGAUGGGGAUAGAUUAUUGCAAUUAUUAAUCUUCAACGAGGAAUUCCUAGUAAGCGCGAGUCAUCGGCUCGUGCUGAUUACGUCCCUGCCCUUUGUACACACCGCCCGUCGCUCCUACCGAUUGAGUGGUCCGGUGAGGCUUUGGGAUCUAAGCGAAAAGAGCGUUUCGCUCCUUUUGCUGGGAGAACUCAGUCGAACCUUAUCAUUUAGAGGAAGGAGAAGUCGUAACA